GACGAACGCUGGCGGCGUGCUUAACACAUGCAAGUCGUACGAUGAAGAAGAGCUUGCUCUUCGGAUUAGUGGCGAACGGGUGAGUAACACGUGACUAACCUGCCCCUUUCUCUGGGAUAACGCUCCGAAAGGAGUGCUAAUACCGGAUACUCACAUCGAGGCACAUGCCUUGAUGUGGAAAGUUUUUCGGAAAGGGAUGGAGUCGCGGCCUAUCAGCUUGUUGGUGAGGUAACGGCUCACCAAGGCGACGACGGGUAGCCGGCCUGAGAGGGCGACCGGCCACGCUGGGGCUGAGACACGGCCCAGACUCCUACGGGAGGCAGCAGUGGGGAAUAUUGCACAAUGGGCGAAAGCCUGAUGCAGCGACGCCGCGUGAGGGAUGAAGGUCUUCGGAUUGUAAACCUCUUUCAGUAGGGACGAAGCGAAAGUGACGGUACCUAAAGAAGAAGCACCGGCUAACUACGUGCCAGCAGCCGCCGCCG
rnacentral:rRNA from 1 species